GAUGAAGAACGUAGUGAAAUGCGAUAAGUAAUGUGAAUUGCAGAAUUCAGUGAAUCAUCGAAUCUUUGAACGCACAUUGCGCCCGCCAGUAUUCUGGCGGGCAUGCCCGUUCGAGCGUCAUUUCAACCAUCAAGCCCCCGGGCUUGUGUUGGGGACCUGCGGCUGCCGCAGGCCCUGAAAAGCAGUGGCGGGCUCGCUGUCACACCGAGCGUAGUAGAUUUUAUCUCGCUCUGGGCGUGCUGCGGGUUCCGGCCGUUAAACCACCCUUUUAACCCAAGGUUGACCUCGGAUCAGGUAGGAAGACCCGCUGAACUUAAGCAUAUCAAUAAGCGGAGGA
rnacentral:misc_RNA from 1 species